rnacentral:ncRNA from 2 species
AUGAUAAAAGGCGAUGGAGUUCGCCAUCAACCGUCUUUGUGACUAAUGACUCCUACCAGUGG